UACGAAGGGGGCUAGCGUUGCUCGGAUUUACUGGGCGUAAAGGGCGCGUAGGCGGACAGUUAAGUUAGGGGUGAAAUCCCGGGGCUCAACCUCGGAACUGCCUUUAAAACUGGCUGUCUAGAGUGCGGGAGAGGUGUGUGGAACUCCGAGUGUAGAGGUGAAAUUCGUAGAUAUUCGGAAGAACACCAGUGGCGAAGGCGGCUCACUGGCCCGAAGCUGACGCUGAGGCGCGAAAGCGUGGGGAGCAAACAGG
rnacentral:rRNA from 1 species